AGGUGACAAAACGCGACAGCCUUCCUCAAGCCCCUCCAGUGUUAUCCGACGUACGUCUUCCUUGGAUACUCUUGCUGCUCCGUAUCUGGCCGGGCACUGGCCUCGUGAUAGUCAUGGGCAGGCUGCACCUUGCAUGAGGGACAAAGCUACACAGACAGAGAGUGCAUGGGCUGAAGAAUACGCUGAAAAGAAGAAAGGGUCUCAUAAGCGCUCAGCAUCCUGGGGCAGCACAGAUCAACUUAAGGAGAUUGCAAAAUUACGCCAGCAAUUGCAGAGAAGUAAACACAGCAGUCGACAUCAUCGAGAUAAAGAAAGACAGUCUCCAUUCCAUGGCAACCAUGCAGCUAUUAACCAGUGUCAGG